rnacentral:rRNA from 1 species
UACGUAGGGGGCAAGCGUUGUCCGGAUUUAUUGGGCGUAAAGAGCUCGUAGGCGGUUUCGUAAGUCGGAUGUGAAAACUCAGGCUCAACCCGGAGACGCCAUCUGAUACUGCGAUGACUUGAGUCUGGUAGGGGAUCACGGAAUUCCUGGUGUAGCGGUGAAAUGCGUAGAGAUCGGAAAGAACACCAACGGCGAAAGCACUCUGCUGGGCCGACACUGACACUGAGAGACGAAAGCUAGGGGAGCGAAUGGG